AAUUCUCAAUCGUAAUCCUUUGACAACAGUUGAAGAUUCUUAUCUUUUUAAAUUGCCAGCAUUAAAAUAUUUAGACAUGGGAACAACACAAGUGUCACUUACAACAAUUGAAAGCAUCCUCAUGAUGACCCUUGAAUUGGAAAAACUCUCCCUCUGGAGGAAGCCAGCCAUCAUGUAGUGAGGAUAUUCAAUCAAGUAGCAGGUGGACAGACAGGCCCAUGCAGGGAGGAAAUGAGGCCUCCCACUAACAACCAGCACCACCCUGACUGCCAGGUAAGGGAGUGAACCAUCUUGGAAGUGGACCCUGCAGCCUCAUUCCAGCCAUCAGAUGACUGCAGCCCUGGCCGAUAUCUUGAGGACCUCAUGAGAGACCCAGAGCCAGAACUGCCCAAGAUAUU